ensembl:scaRNA small Cajal body-specific RNA 6
GGUCACUGAUGAGCAGUAAAAGGUCUGAUUUCCCACGAUCCUCUGCUGCCCCUCUGGCUCCCAGCAGCCAGCUCUGUCUCCCAUCAUGCUCCAGUGCUGUUGUGAUGGUCCAGCUGCUGCUGACACACAGGAAGUGACAUCACUGAGAGUCUGCUCAGAGAAUCUGCAGCCUCUCUGAUGUCAGACGUCCCACAGAACCAAUCGGAAGGAGUCAUACGGAGGGGGAGGAGGAGGAGGGAGCUGAUCUCCAGUUUUCAAGCUGAGACC